CAGCCGCCGCGGUAAUACGAACCGUGCGAACGUUAUUCGGAAUCACUGGGCUUAAAGCGCGUGUAGGUGGGUGGGUACGUCCGUCGUUGAAAGCCCCCAGCUCAACCGGGGAACUGGCGCGGAUACGGCCUACCUGGAGGGACGUAGGGGGACCUGGAACUUCCGGUGGAGCGGUGAAAUGCGUUGAGAUCGGAAGGAACGCCCGUGGCGAAAGCGAGGUCCUGGACGUUUUCUGACACUGAGACGCGAAAGCCAGGGGAGCGAACGGGAUUAGAUACCCGUGUAGUCCCUGUCUCUUAUA
rnacentral:rRNA from 1 species